GACGAACGCUGGCGGCGUGCUUAACACAUGCAAGUCGAACGGUAAGGCCCCAGCUUGCUGGGGUACACGAGUGGCGAACGGGUGAGUAACACGUGGGUGACCUGCCCCGCACUUCGGGAUAAGCCUGGGAAACUGGGUCUAAUACCGGAUAGGACCGCACCGUGAGGGUGUGGUGGAAAGUUUUUCGGUGUGGGAUGGGCCCGCGGCCUAUCAGCUUGUUGGUGGGGUAAUGGCCUACCAAGGCGGCGACGGGUAGCCGGCCUGAGAGGGUGGACGGCCACAUUGGGACUGAGACACGGCCCAGACUCCUACGGGAGGCAGCAGUGGGGAAUAUUGCACAAUGGGCGGAAGCCUGAUGCAGCGACGCCGCGUGGGGGAUGACGGCCUUCGGGUUGAAAACUCCUUUCACCAUCGACGAAGGUUUUCUGACGGUAGAUGGAGAAGAAGCACCGGCUAACUACGUG
rnacentral:rRNA from 1 species